CACCGAUUGCAAUUAUAAGUUGCGCAUGUAGAUAUCGGUCUUCUCCCGACAUGCGCUCUGAUGACGGUUCCAUUUCCGCCAACUUAGGGUGAGAGUUAAGAGCCGGAGCCCUGUUGCCACCUGCAAAAUGCCUUAGCAACAUGUGGCAACUAUCUGCCCGAAGCAAGUUGCAAGCCAGCCCAGUUCAGGUUGCCACAUGCCAUGCUGGGUAUUCCCAGCGCGCUAGCGCACCUGCUUGGGCAGCUCGCUAUGGCUGCCGUCGACAGUUGACCCUGGUAUGCCAUCGCUAGAGUCGCAGCCCGCUCCGGCCAACCUCGCUCCUCCGCAACCGACACACGAACCCGACGUCACUUGAUCCCACAAUUCCAGCGACUUUUGCGACCGGCUCUCCACCGACCGCUUGGAUGCUUGCGCCCGGUCGCUGCCCCAGCUACUUCCGCGGUGAAAUAACAACGGUGAGCACUCUCAACCACUGCGAGGACAGCCCUAGCAACCGCACUGCGUAAGAAGUACAGCAUCGAUUUGCUGCAUGUUGAUUUUGGCGCAAAUGGGGGGUGCAAGCAGUUUGUUUCUCUCAGACGCGAGCUAGCGCCCAAGCGCGCGAUAUGGGGGCGAGGAGCCACUAUGUAGCUGUAACGAUUGCAUGAGUGGCGAAUUUUACUUCGAGGGUCUAGGGUGCGAGCGGAGUGGGAUUACCCCCCGAGGGGCACGCCAUGCGCUCAGGCCCCAUGCAACAGAAAUUCGCCGGGCACCAACCCACGCACAGAUAAUUCAUAGGACUACACCAUAGCCAUCAGAGACCGGCCGGGAACAAGCCCCGCAAGCGGGGCAGCAUGGGCGCGACACCACCCUGCCGCGCCAACUCACCCCAAACACGCCCCAACCACUUGUGCGACACAAGGGCUACCAUACAGUAGCGCGCGACACCUAAUCGCGUGCGCCGGAGUGUGCGAGCAAACAUUGUACGGAGGAGCUCGUUUGGGCCCUAGGACGCAGGGCCUGGGCUGGCAUUUGGUGCAUUCAAUAGAGCAUAGAAAACCGAGGCCACAUAUGUGCUCGGGUGCGCAAAGGUCGGCGGAAUUGUGGGAUCAAGUGACGUGGAAAUGGAUCUGGGGGACUGCGGGGUUUUGGGGUGUGUUGGGUUGGUGGCGUGAAGGGUGUGAUUUGUGAGGAAUUUAUCGAUGCAUGCCAAGUUGCACGCCUUUCCCCUGUGUUUCCUACAUGCCCCUGAACCCUCCCUUUGCUGGCUGCAGGCGAAGCGACAAGUGGUACCGCUGGUACCACCCACGGGGGCCUUGUGCCCAAGCCGUGGUGGCGCAUGGUAACUAUACACGUGGCGGUCAUCGACAUUGCUUUGUGCCGGCGCGCAGCACCCAGGAUGUGCGGCGAUCGCUGAAAUGCAGUUGUGGGGUCCACACUCAUAUGGCACCCACGCCCCACACAGCACUGAUGCAGGGCUCCUGCAGCCGUCACGCCAUGGGAAUCAGCAUAUGGGCAGUGGCCUGUGCAUACUUCUCUGUGGCCUGGCGGGGCAUCUGGCCAGGGCGUUUGACUAGCGGCAUGGGGCCUGCACGCCGGUAGGGGGGCGCAGGCCCAAAAUGAUGCAAGGAAGCUGAUGUGUUGCGUGAGGUGCGCAGCGGUUCCUGAUGGACGUGGGUGCUUUCAUGCGUAUGUAUAUUGGCUAUGUGUGUUGAUCUUUGCACCAGGGUGGUGUCGCCGCGCAGCGGAGCAUUGGUGUUGGUGCACGGGGCGUGAACAUUGGGGCCCGCAGUUGGGAUCGCGCCGGCACGGUCGCGGGCACCGCUGAAGAUAUGUUGGCGCGACCGGUCGCUUAUGGUGCACGCUAAUACCCGCAUACUGUGUGUAAGCACCGAUUGCAAUUAUAAGUUGCGCAUGUAGAUAUCGGUCUUCUCCCGACAUGCGCUCUGAUGACGGUUCCAUUUCCGCCAACUUAGGGUGAGAGUUAAGAGCCGGAGCCCUGUUGCCACCUGCAAAAUGCCUUAGCAACAUGUGGCAACUAUCUGCCCGAAGCAAGUUGCAAGCCAGCCCAGUUCAGGUUGCCACAUGCCAUGCUGGGUAUUCCCAGCGCGCUAGCGCACCUGCUUGGGCAGCUCGCUAUGGCUGCCGUCGACAGUUGACCCUGGUAUGCCAUCGCUAGAGUCGCAGCCCGCUCCGGCCAACCUCGCUCCUCCGCAACCGACACACGAACCCGACGUCUGACGUGGAAAUGGAUCUGGGGGACUGCGGGGUUUUGGGGUGUGUUGGGUUGGUGGCGUGAAGGGUGUGAUUUGUGAGGAAUUUAUCGAUGCAUGCCAAGUUGCACGCCUUUCCCCUGUGUUUCCUACAUGCCCCUGAACCCUCCCUUUGCUGGCUGCAGGCGAAGCGACAAGUGGUACCGCUGGUACCACCCACGGGGGCCUUGUGCCCAAGCCGUGGUGGCGCAUGGUAACUAUACACGUGGCGGUCAUCGACAUUGCUUUGUGCCGGCGCGCAGCACCCAGGAUGUGCGGCGAUCGCUGAAAUGCAGUUGUGGGGUCCACACUCAUAUGGCACCCACGCCCCACACAGCACUGAUGCAGGGCUCCUGCAGCCGUCACGCCAUGGGAAUCAGCAUAUGGGCAGUGGCCUGUGCAUACUUCUCUGUGGCCUGGCGGGGCAUCUGGCCAGGGCGUUUGACUAGCGGCAUGGGGCCUGCACGCCGGUAGGGGGGCGCAGGCCCAAAAUGAUGCAAGGAAGCUGAUGUGUUGCGUGAGGUGCGCAGCGGUUCCUGAUGGACGUGGGUGCUUUCAUGCGUAUGUAUAUUGGCUAUGUGUGUUGAUCUUUGCACCAGGGUGGUGUCGCCGCGCAGCGGAGCAUUGGUGUUGGUGCACGGGGCGUGAACAUUGGGGCCCGCAGUUGGGAUCGCGCCGGCACGGUCGCGGGCACCGCUGAAGAUAUGUUGGCGCGACCGGUCGCUUAUGGUGCACGCUAAUACCCGCAUACUGUGUGUAAGCACCGAUUGCAAUUAUAAGUUGCGCAUGUAGAUAUCGGUCUUCUCCCGACAUGCGCUCUGAUGACGGUUCCAUUUCCGCCAACUUAGGGUGAGAGUUAAGAGCCGGAGCCCUGUUGCCACCUGCAAAAUGCCUUAGCAACAUGUGGCAACUAUCUGCCCGAAGCAAGUUGCAAGCCAGCCCAGUUCAGGUUGCCACAUGCCAUGCUGGGUAUUCCCAGCGCGCUAGCGCACCUGCUUGGGCAGCUCGCUAUGGCUGCCGUCGACAGUUGACCCUGGUAUGCCAUCGCUAGAGUCGCAGCCCGCUCCGGCCAACCUCGCUCCUCCGCAACCGACACACGAACCCGACGUCAGACGUGGAAAUGGAUCUGGGGGACUGCGGGGUUUUGGGGUGUGUUGGGUUGGUGGCGUGAAGGGUGUGAUUUGUGAGGAAUUUAUCGAUGCAUGCCAAGUUGCACGCCUUUCCCCUGUGUUUCCUACAUGCCCCUGAACCCUCCCUUUGCUGGCUGCAGGCGAAGCGACAAGUGGUACCGCUGGUACCACCCACGGGGGCCUUGUGCCCAAGCCGUGGUGGCGCAUGGUAACUAUACACGUGGCGGUCAUCGACAUUGCUUUGUGCCGGCGCGCAGCACCCAGGAUGUGCGGCGAUCGCUGAAAUGCAGUUGUGGGGUCCACACUCAUAUGGCACCCACGCCCCACACAGCACUGAUGCAGGGCUCCUGCAGCCGUCACGCCAUGGGAAUCAGCAUAUGGGCAGUGGCCUGUGCAUACUUCUCUGUGGCCUGGCGGGGCAUCUGGCCAGGGCGUUUGACUAGCGGCAUGGGGCCUGCACGCCGGUAGGGGGGCGCAGGCCCAAAAUGAUGCAAGGAAGCUGAUGUGUUGCGUGAGGUGCGCAGCGGUUCCUGAUGGACGUGGGUGCUUUCAUGCGUAUGUAUAUUGGCUAUGUGCUUCCANNNNNNNNNNNNNNNNNNNNNNNNNNNNNNNNNNNNNNNNNNNNNNNNNNNNNNNNNNNNNNNNNNNNNNNNNNNNNNNNNNNNNNNNNNNNNNNNNNNNUGCCUUAGCAACAUGUGGCAACUAUCUGCCCGAAGCAAGUUGCAAGCCAGCCCAGUUCAGGUUGCCACAUGCCAUGCUGGGUAUUCCCAGCGCGCUAGCGCACCUGCUUGGGCAGCUCGCUAUGGCUGCCGUCGACAGUUGACCCUGGUAUGCCAUCGCUAGAGUCGCAGCCCGCUCCGGCCAACCUCGCUCCUCCGCAACCGACACACGAACCCGACGUCACUUGAUCCCACAAUUCCAGCGACUUUUGCGACCGGCUCUCCACCGACCGCUUGGAUGCUUGCGCCCGGUCGCUGCCCCAGCUACUUCCGCGGUGAAAUAACAACGGUGAGCAC
rnacentral:lncRNA from 1 species